UUCUGUACAGUCUCUUCAAGAGGCGCCACUGUUUCGUCGAAGCAUAAGAACAGCCCACUCCCGCCAACAGCUUUGGCACUCCGUUUCCCACGCAGAGGUCUCUUCCCGCUCUUCCUCCGGGCACCGACCGGUUCUUCAGCCCAUCCGAUGUCGCCGCGCUCGCACACACGACACUGGUGUCUGGAGGCAUUCCACCAAUUCUGUCUCCCGCCUCCCCCUCCUGCAGCCACCGCCCAUUGCUGCAUCCUAAGAUUUGCCCUUUCGAUCAGCCUCCCCUCCAAGCUUGGCCCAUGGCAACUUCGUAAUUCCACCGUCCCUGGGCCCUCUCCUCGGAACCGUCAUAUUUUCCCCGUAAGCUUGUGCCUUUCUUAAGUUGCAUCCAUUCAUCCCCUGGGUUGCUUAAACUAUUUCUCACAGAGUGGCCCCAUGUUUGCUUGCUUUUCCUCUGUUCAGUUGCUCUUUGUUCACUCUUUCCCAAUUCAGUCCCAAAUUACGACUACUAAGUGUUCUGUGAAUUGCAUAUGAUAGUUUUCUUUGCUCCACCCAUGCCCCAAAGAUGUUCGCACCCAGGUAACCAUCCCCUGCUAGCCUUUCAUUUAUGAUAGUCCCAUCCUCUACUUCAGGCUAGAUUAUGUGGUUUGUUUUAUUUCUCUCGAUGUUUACUUCCUGCUCAUUGAAUUUAAUUCAAAAUUUCAGACUACUGGAUGUGAUUUUUAGGUUCAUUUUCUUCAAGAGGGGAAAUGGCUUCAAACAAAUUGAAUUUUCCGAUGAAGGUUGCUCUUACUCCACUAUGUAUAUUAGGAGCUGUUAUGAGUGUGAAGUUAGAAUUUUGUUUUAAUUUUAAUAGUAAAGUUAUAAAUUAAAUUAAAAUCAGUUUUUCAUAUUUCAGAGUUACUACAUUUUCUCAGUACAUCUAUGUAGCAACCAAUCUGGUAAAUAUGUUCCUUUGAGUCCUCGAUACAAUCUGAAAUGCAGGAAGAAGAAGAGAAAUAAAUUAGUAUCUCUAAGUUCACAAACAGAUGGGCAUCCUUUCACUCUAAGGAGUAGCUCUCCCUACCAAUAGUAAUGCUAUGCGUGGUCCAGCAGCCCUUUGCUAGAUCAAAACAGAGGACAACCAGAUGAAUCCCGGUAUCAGUAUCAGGCACCAAUAAUGGCCCCCAAAAGGCUACAGUGACCUCACCGGAACUCGAUGCCAGUCCAGUUCUUCGGGGUCAAAUAGUGUCAGACACUUUUGCAGCGUCAUGGUUCCAAUAGUUUUAAAUACAUGGAAUAUCAUCCAUUGUGGGUCUAUUAGCAGCAUCCUGCUUGAACUGAGCUAGAACGGGACAAACUUUGUCUUUGCUAUGUACUUGAAUUAAGAAAAAUAAUCACCUUCUCAGAAAUCAGUAGUUUUGCUUGAAUGCUCAUUGAAUUGGACUCCUGGAGUUUCAUAUUGUUACCUUUCAAGACUUCAAGGAAUCGUAGCCAAUUUUAGAAAGCUACUGCUUGGCCCAAAUUUGGUUUUAUCUGAGGGACCUGAUCACAUUACAAGAGCGCUCGACAUCUUCCGUUCAGUCCUAUGCUUUUCAACUUUGAAGUCAUUUACAUCCUUUUUAUUUAUUUAUUUAUUUAUUUUGUUCUAUGGUUGCUCUUACCUGUUCUCUCUUUAUCUUUCUCUUGUUUUAAUCAUUACUAUUCUAGAAUCCAUGUAAGUUACUUUUCUUGGUAUAAUAUGUGCAAGUCCUUCGUUCUUGUUCACCUCCUCCGACGUUAAAUGUGAUGGCCCGAGGGGAGCUACUUCGUAUAUGUAUCUUUCAUCUAAAAAGGAAAAAGAAAGAAAACAAGCUGUAUAUGCUAUCUCCUUAGAUGCCAUUAAGUGGAAAAGAACAUCAAGAGACUACUUACAUCUGGCAUCUUCUGUUAGCCAGGAACAUGGGAUUAUAACAUCUGCUGAUUGAAGUUUUACCGAAAAUCAGAAAAUUCAUUUGUUUAAACCCCUGUACACCAUCCAUUUUUAUAAUCAGCCGUCCAUAUUUGGUCCUCUUUUGCUUCAUUGUACCUUAUCUUAUAUCUUGAACUGCAGUGUCAUCGCUUUGCCGCCAAGUUAUGAGCUUUGCAAUAUUACUGCUUUUAUAGCUGUUUACUCCAUUGAUUUUGUAUUUCGUUGUUGCUUGUUCAUGUUUUGCUUUUGGUAUGUGCUUGCCUAUUACAUGUUUUUUUUUUCUUCCUAAUAUCCUGCUUUUGUGUCUUGUGCCCCUUCUCGUCCAUCCGGAGUAUGUUUACUUCUACGUUGUAGUUUUUGUUGCCAAUUGGUCUAAUCCUGCUUACUGUCUGUGCCUUUUGGUUUUGCAAUAUGCUUUUUUUGAACAGUCUUCUACUCUGACUGCUACUUAUAUUCCAUGCUCUGUAUGUUGGCAUGUAUAUUUUAGUUUUCGAUCUACUCCAUGAUUUACCUAUUUUUCAUGCGUCUUCUUUAUUUAUGCCUUUCAGGAAAAGAAAAACCUCGCUCCUGCAUGAUUUCAACUGGUAUGCUCGACUGACACUUGAAGAAAAGUGGACCAGAGUCGUUGUUAACAGAGACCAACGGGAAAGGCCCGUGUAAGUGCUGUUGGCAGAGGCUUUGCCGCGGUCGCUUUCCAUCAUUGCCGAUUACUCCUCUUCUCAUCUGUUAGCAGCCCUGGUACACUCUGUUGUGCCUUUUCUUUUCCCCACAACUUUUGUCCGUAAUUUUACAUUAUACUUGCUCUAUUUUUUUUGAAAUAUAUAUAGAGAUCUCGGUUGUGUUUCGAUGUCUAUGCCACUGUAGCUCCUGUCUAACAUAGGAUUUUGCUUCUCCACAUGUCUUUCUUUUAUCUUUUCUCUGUUUAGUUUGUCUUGAACUUGCUCUCUCCUAGAAUUCAAAUGGGUCUGAGUAUUAUGUUUUGCUAUUGCCAUCUUUCAUUUUUUUCGCUAUAAAUUCUGAUCCUCACAGAUACAUUUUCUUAAUGCAUGCCACACAACGUAAAAUAUAUGACCUUCCUACCUCAAAUUUCCUCCUUUGAAUCUAAAUUCCUAUCGGCCACUUUAGGUUGUACUUGUGCAUGCCAUUUGUAGGCCUGUCAUUAUCUUAUGUCUCACCUUGUUUCAGUUACAUCAUUUAGCUUUUUGGCUCUGCUUUGUGUUGUGUACAUAAUAUACCUGAAACUUCUCAUCUUUCCUCUAUGCUUUAAUAUUAGCUGCUUGUAUUACAAGCCAAGUUUUAUUCCUGAGUCCUGGCAAGUAUUACAUACUUGUUUUCUUUGGUUAGCUACAGGUAGAAGGAUUGCUUCUCCAGUAGAUGUUAUGCAUAGUUAUUAGCGGGUCCAGGUUUGAUAAAGUGCAUGAUAGAUUGUUUGAAAGCCUGCUGACGGCAUGAAUGAAGGACUCUUAUCUGUAAAUUUCAUAUUUUAUGCUGGAUUGCCUGAGUUAUUUAGUUUUGCAAAAUCCUUAGUGCAUGUUUCAAGCACUC